rnacentral:rRNA from 1 species
CUACGGGUUGCUCCAGUCGAGAAUUUUUCACAAUGGGGGAAACCCUGAUGGAGCGACGCCGCGUGGAGGAUGAAGGUUUUCGGAUUGUAAACUCCUGUCAUUAGAGAACAAGGCACACGGUUUAACUGGCCGUGUGUUGAUAGUAUCUGAAGAGGAAGAGACGGCUAACUCUGUGCCAGCAGCCGCGGUAAUACAGAGGUCUCAAGGGUUGUUCGGAUUCAUUGGGCGUAAAGGGUGCGUGGGUGGCGAUGUAAGUCGGGUGUGAAAUCUCCAAGCUUAACUUGGAAACUGCACUCGAUACUGCGUUGCUCGAGGACUGUAGAGGGCAUUGGAAUUCACGGUGUAGCAGUGAAAUGCGUAGAUAUCGUGAGGAAGACCAGUGGCGAAGGCGAAUGCCUGGGCAGUUCCUGACACUGAGGCACGAAGGCCAGGGGAGCAAACGGGAUUAGAUACCCCCGUAGUC